rnacentral:rRNA from 1 species
CAGGAAUGGAUGGCAGAGAGGUCACACCCGUUCCCAUACCGAACACGGAAGUUAAGCUCUCUAGCGCCGAUGGUAGUUGGGACCUUGUCCCUGUGAGAGUAGGACGUUGCCAGGCA